GGGUUUAUUAAUUAAAAAUUAUGGUUUUAAUUUUCUCGAAUUUAAAAGAGCUAUGAUUAUAUAUUUUUUAUUGUAAAAUAACUAUUAUUAAUAUAAUUAUAGAAAUGAAACGUUAAUCGUUUUUAAAUAUAUCUAGUUUUUUAAGAAAAAAAUUUAAUUUUAUUUUUAUUUAUUAUUAAAUUUAAUUUUUAAUUUGAUAAUUAGUAAAAUUUUAUAUUUAAGGGGAUGAGCUUUUAAAUAGAAUUGCUUAAUUUACAUACUAAAUUUUUAAUAAAUAGGAUUAUAAGUUUUUAUUUUUAGUAGUGUUUUAUAACUAAUUAAAUUAAAUAUAAGAUUUUUAUGUGACGUAGUGUUUUUUAUUAAAAUAUAAGUUUAAAUUAUUUAAAUUUAGAAAUAAUGAUAAAAUUAGUAUAAAUUUUUAUUUUAUUUUUAUAGGAUUUUUAGGUUAAAUAAAGUAAUUCGGCAAAUUUGUUUUUCACCUGUUUAAUAAAAACAUGGCCUUUUGAAUUUAAUUUAAGGUCUGACCUGCCCAAUGAGUUUUUAAAUGGCCGCGGUAUUUUGACCGUGCGGGUUUAUUAAUUAAAAAUUAUGGUUUUAAUUUUCUCGAAUUUAAAAGAGCUAUGAUUAUAUAUUUUUUAUUGUAAAAUAACUAUUAUUAAUAUAAUUAUAGAAAUGAAACGUUAAUCGUUUUUAAAUAUAUCUAGUUUUUUAAGAAAAAAAUUUAAUUUUAUUUUUAUUUAUUAUUAAAUUUAAUUUUUAAUUUGAUAAUUAGUAAAAUUUUAUAUUUAAGGGGAUGAGCUUUUAAAUAGAAUUGCUUAAUUUACAUACUAAAUUUUUAAUAAAUAGGAUUAUAAGUUUUUAUUUUUAGUAGUGUUUUAUAACUAAUUAAAUUAAAUAUAAGAUUUUUAUGUGACGUAGUGUUUUUUAUUAAAAUAUAAGUUUAAAUUAUUUAAAUUUAGAAAUAAUGAUAAAAUUAGUAUAAAUUUUUAUUUUAUUUUUAUAGGAUUUUUAGGUUAAAUAAAGUAAUUCGGCAAAUUUGUUUUUCACCUGUUUAAUAAAAACAUGGCCUUUUGAAUUUAAUUUAAGGUCUGACCUGCCCAAUGAGUUUUUAAAUGGCCGCGGUAUUUUGACCGUGC
rnacentral:rRNA from 1 species